GGGUAGCUCAGUCGGUAGAGCAUGAAGCUUUUAAUCUCAAGGUCGUGGGUUCAAGUCCCAUGUUGAGCA